AACGCACAUUGCGCCCGCCAGUAUUCUGGCGGGCAUGCCUGUUCGAGCGUCAUUUCAACCCUCAAGCCCCCUCGGGGGCUCGGUGUUGGGGACCGGCCCCGCCCUCUGUGCCCGGCGGCCGUCCCCGAAAUACAGUGGCUGCCUCGCCGCGGUCUCCUCUGCGUAGUAACAUCUGAACCUCGCACCGGAGCGCGGCGCGGCCACGCCGUUAAACCCCAACUUCUUGAAAGGUUGACCUCGGAUCAGGUAGGAAUACCCGCUGAACUUAA
rnacentral:misc_RNA from 1 species